rnacentral:rRNA from 1 species
UGGGGAAUUUUGGACAAUGGGGGCAACCCUGAUCCAGCAAUGCCGCGUGUGUGAAGAAGGCCUUCGGGUUGUAAAGCACUUUUGUCCGGGAAGAAAUCGCACCUGAUAAUACCGGGUGUGGAUGACGGUACCGGAAGAAUAAGGACCGGCUAACUACGUGCCAGCAGCCGCGGUAAUACGUCGGGUCCAAGCGUUAAUCGGAAUUACUGGGCGUAAAGCGUGCGCAGGCGGUUGUGCAAGACCGAUGUGAAAUCCCCGGGCUUAACCUGGGAAUUGCAUUGGUGACUGCACGGCUAGAGUGUGUCAGAGGGGGGUAGAAUUCCACGUGUAGCAGUGAAAUGCGUAGAGAUGUGGAGGAAUACCGAUGGCGAAGGCAGCCCCCUGGGAUAACACUGACGCUCAUGCACGAAAGCGUGGGGAGCAAACAGG